UACAGAGGUCUCAAGCGUUGUUCGGAUUCAUUGGGCGUAAAGGGUGUGUAGGUGGCGCGCUAAGUCGGGUGUGAAAUUUCGGAGCUUAACUCCGAAACUGCAUUCGAUACUGGCGUGCUUGAGGACUGGAGAGGAGACUGGAAUUCAUGGUGUAGCAGUGAAAUGCGUAGAGAUCAUGAGGAAGACCAGUGGCGAAGGCGGCUAUCUGGACAGUUCCUGACACUGAGGCACGAAGGCCAGGGGAGCGAACGGG
rnacentral:rRNA from 1 species